CAGCACCAACCCCGGGGCCCAGCCGGAUCGCCACGCAGGCACCUGCCUGUCGCCGCCGCCACCAUAUGGGUCGCAGAGGGUGCGCCGCUCCCCGGGGAGAUCCGGCUCCCAUCCGGCCCCUCCCGCCUUGCCCGCAGAUUCUGGGCUGCCCGGCUCGAUUCCGGGGUGAUGGCCUUCCCUGCCUCCAUAUCCUGGUUCCUGGACUUCUAGCCAUACUUUGAGCCCUCCUGAUGGUGAAGAUGGAGGCCCUGCCGUUGGAGCCAGAGCUAUGAGGUCCCUCCUCCCUGACUGGCCAGAGAGGGUGGAGUCUCCAGGCGCCUGCCAAGCCUGCAGUCACAGUGGACAGGCCAACAGCUAGGGAAACUGCCUUGCCCUACUCUAUUAAUUCUGACCUGGCCUUGGAACUUCAGGGCUUGGAAGCCAUCCAGAAUCUAGGUGAGAGUGGGGAGACCAGGAAGGGGGGCUCAUACCCAGGUGCUAAUCCCCAUCCAGCCAAGGCAGUACCAGAUCCUCAUUGACCUUCUUGGAGAUUAGUCCCCAUGGAGACCACUGGCAACUCGCCCCCUCACUCUGGCUGGGCCAGGUGGGUGGCUGGGUGGGGCAGGCAGAGGCUGGAUGGGGAGGGGAGUAAGCCUUCCUAAGGCAUCACAGGAUCACAGCAGGCAGGGUUAGGAGGCCCCUCCAGGAUCAUCAGCCAGUUUAACUUAACAGUCAAAAAAAAAAAAAAAAAUCCAGAGGCUCCAAGAGUGAGAGUGACUGGCUAAAGGCCACAGAUGGAGCCAAGAAAAGCAAUGGGAGCAGAAGCCAGAUCUUUGGUUUCAUUCCCAGGUGUGUUUUCCUGGAGAGCAGAGGCCUGUGCAGGAACAAGAGAAAUUGGGACACCUGCUCUGACCUUGUCAAAGAGGUCAUGAGCAGGCAAGGUGUGAAGGUGCACCAUGCUGAGUGCGUGCUGGCCUUCCCAGGGCCAGGAGGAGGGGGAGGAGACAGCACCCUGCUUGCUGCCUGGACCACCUCUGAUCCCAGCCCAGCCUCUGGUGGGGUGGUGGGGAGAACCAUGCCACAAAAGCUGUUAUAACUGCAGGCGACAGUAACCUUUAACAUUUGUUGGGCACACGCUGUAGGGCAGUUUUCUGUUUUGCAUGUAUUUAAAUCUUCACAACAGUCUUUAAUAAAGACAAUUAUUCCCAUUUCACAGAGGAAAAAAAAAA